AUCACGGGUUUGUGUAAAAGAAUUCUCCUAAAAUGUCCAUGUACAACGGUGUCUUUUACCGCUGUCUUUGUCUGAUUUGUCAAACUUCCGGCCAAAUUACUGAAAAUACAGAUUUGAGAGACCCUUACAUUCUGUGUGAGAAUAAAGAAAGUCCAAAUCUUGAAUGUCCUCCAACAACAAUCAUCAAGAUUGAAGAUGCCUUUUAUGGUAGAAAAAAUCAAAGUGUAUGUAAAGAUCCAAGAAUAAGUUCUACCUCGUGUAAUGUCACAGUAACCGACAUUGUAGAGAGCAACUGUAGUUUCUUACAAACAUGCUUACCAAAAGCUUCGAAUAAGAUCUACGGUGAUCCUUGCCAGAAUACAUACAAAUAUCUACAUGUUACUUACAGGUGUAUCAAAGAAGCUCAACCAUCAUUGAAAUCCUCGACACACCUACCCACUCAGUUCUUUACAGCAUCGCCAAGUUCAUCAUCAAAAACUGAACAACAAGUGUCAUUUUCUAUAACAGG